UACAGAGGUCCCAAGCGUUGUUCGGAUUCACUGGGCGUAAAGGGUGCGUAGGUGGCCGGGAAAGUUUGAUGUGAAAGCUCGGAGCUCAACUCCGAAAUGGCAUUGAAUACUAUCCGGCUUGAGGGUCGGAGGGGAGACUGGAAUUCUCGGUGUAGCAGUGAAAUGCGUAGAUAUCGAGAGGAACACCAGUGGCGAAGGCGAGUCUCUGGACGACUCCUGACACUGAGGCACGAAAGCCAGGGGAGCAAACAGG
rnacentral:rRNA from 1 species